UCAUGGCUCAGGAUGAACGCUGGCGGCGUGCCUAACACAUGCAAGUCGAACGAAGCGAUCAAGAUGAAGUUUUCGGAUGAAUUCGAGAUUGACUGAGUGGCGGACGGGUGAGUAACGCGUGGGUAACCUGCCUCAUACAGGGGGGAUAACAGUUAGAAAUGACUGCUAAUACCGCAUAAGCCCCCGGGGUCGCAUGAUCCAGAGGGAAAAGAUUUAUCGGUGUAAGAUGGUCCCGCGUCUGAUUAGCUAGUUGGUGAGGUAACGGCCCACCAAGGCGACGAUCAGUAGCCGACCUGAGAGGGUGACCGGCCACAUUGGGACUGAGACACGGCCCAAACUCCUACGGGAGGCAGCAGUGGGGAAUAUUGCACAAUGGGGGAAACCCUGAUGCAGCGACGCCGCGUGAGUGAAGAAGUAUUUCGGUAUGUAAAGCUCUAUCAGCAGGGAAGAAAGUGACAGUACCUGACUAAGAAGCCCCGGCUAACUACGUG
rnacentral:rRNA from 1 species